AAAAAAGGAAAUAUAUUAUACAUUUUAAUAUUUUAUCUCUAGUUUUGUAAAGUUUUUGUUAUGAGGAGCGCAAAUGAUAGAUCCAGUGGGAGGAUCAUAAUGUGCAAGGCUGCAAGGAAUAGUGAGCAGUAAGAAAGCUAAGACUUUUACUGGAAACCCACUAAAGGAGCUGGUGAGUGACUGUAACUUUCUGGGCUGGUAACUAGACGGCCACUGGGAAAUGGAGGCAUCUGGAGAAACCCUAUUUUAUUUUAUUUGCCAUGUUUAUUCUCAUUUCUGCUCUAUCAUUACCUUACCUCUGAUUGUUUUGCUCUCUCCUUUGACUUUCUGUGUCCUACUUUACACUAGAGUUUAGGUUUAUUCAUAGUUUCUGCUUUCUCAUGAAUCCUUAAGAGACCCAGUUCUAGUUCCCACUUGGUUAUAAAUAUUUAAAGCUCAGAUGCUUAUGAAUUGUCAGCCUGUCAUCCUGACUGGCUCUUUCUUAGGCUAGUCAGCUGGGGUUAGGAAUCAAGAGUAGCAGGCUCAGAAGACAGUGAAGUUUCCCUUAGGAGCCAAGGGAAGACGGGUUUAUUACAAUGGGAAAGCAUGUCUAAAACAACAUUAAAAUGUUUCCCUUUUCCUAGUACAAAGGCAAAAUUCUUAAUAUAAAAAGAUACAUAAAAUUUAAUCAAGUUUAACAUUAAAAAUGUUGACUUUGGAUUUACUUUUAGAAAGGAAUUCUAAAUCUCGAAACUAAAUCUAUUUGUUUAUAUAUUUUUUCUUAUUCUGCCAAAAUCUUUCAAUCCUUAAUCUUUUUUUUAAAUGAAAAUGAUUUAUUUUCUCUCUCCCAACUGUUGGUUAUUCCAUUUGUUAAUUAAUCCAUCCUUUGCUCACUGAUUUGUAAAUAUACCUUUAUCUUUCUUUGUCUUGAAACAUAGAUGCUAUAAAAUAAGAUUUAUAAGUGCAGCUACAUAAGUGAAGUACUUCAUGGCAAAAGCAUUGUAAAUAAAGUCAAAAGAAAAUGAGAGACUUGGAAAGUAUUUGCAACAUGUAUUAGUUAGUGUUAGUCACCAUUAAUAUAUAAAAAUCUUCUAAAUAAAGAAAAUCAAAAGGCCACAAUUUAAAAUGAGCAAUGGGCAUGAACAGAGAGAGCUCACAGAAAAACAAAUGAUACUUAUGAACGAAUGCUCAAGCUCAUUUAUAAGUUGUUUUAUUUGAGAACUUUGUUGGAAGGACUAUGAUCAUACUGGCAUUUAUAGAAUAUUUGUUACAGUACAAAAUAAUACUUAUGGAGGGCACUUUGGAGGUAUUUAUCAAAAUUAGAAUUGCCUUUAUUCUUCGAUCUAGUGAUCCUAUAUAUCUGCACAUGUGAAACAAAUGGCAUAUGUAACAUUGUAGACUGUUUUAUAAUAGUCAAACUUUGAAAAUAACCCAGGAGCCGUCAGUGUGAAACUGGAUAAACUGGUACAUUCACACAAUGGAAUACUAGGUUGCAGUAAAAACACAUAAGGAGCAGUCUCUGCAGUGACAUAUUAAGUGAAAAAGUGAAAUGUACAUGUUCACUUAUGUUAAAUAACAUUGAGAUUAUGUAAAAGUUGUUACCUGUAGAUGCUGGGUGUCCAGGGAUAAGAGCAAGAAUUUUCUAUAUAUCAUUUUUUUUUUAAUUUAGAGAGGGGGAGGGUAGCAGAAUUGGUAGGUUUGGAAGUUCGUGUGACAGCAUACACUUUUAACUUUUACUGUAUGUAAUGUUUUGCAUAUUGUGUAUAUUUCUUAGGUAUACUAUGUUCACUAAACUGUUGGUUUCUUUUACUCACUGCUCCUUAAAUUAUGUAAUAACAGGUUUUCUUUUUUAAAAAACUGUAGCUAUAUUCAGUCAUUCCAUUUGAUUAGCUUUUUAUUCAGCUUGUUAAAAAAUAUAUAUUAAAUGCCUCCUGUACCAUGGAUACUGUACAUUUAGUUACACAUGUGGUAGUUUCUAGGUUUUCCCCAAGAGAUCAGUAAGCUAGGGGAAGUAUAAUAGUUAAGUGCAAGGUACAUAAGAAGUUUACCUAACAGUAUAGGGGAUAAUGAAGCCAAGAUAGGAGGGGAGAGGAGGACUUUACAACAUUGAACCUCAGGGGAAUUUCAUCAUCAAAGUUGUGCUCUAAGGCAGAACCCAUCUUUGAGGCCAAGUAACUGAUCUAACAUUGGUAGAUCUUGUUCACUAAAAGACUUUUGGUAUUGUCGCAAUGGACUUAUCACCGUAUAUAUAUCUCCACCAACAGGAUUAAAUUCUAAUUAUUAAAAGGUCCUAAGGGACCUCCUUUUGUCUGUUAGGUGUUCUUGCUAAAAUUAUUGUAAUUCUGGGUCAGAAAUCAUGUCAGUCAUAAAUGCAGUCUUUUUCAUGAUGUCUCUAGAUAAAGUUUUGUCCCUUAUUUUUUCAUGUUAAAUUGUUGAUCAUCAUCCAUUACUUUUCUCUGCAAUUCAUGAUACCUUGGCAGCCUGGUAUAAUUUCCAGUUUAUUUGCACUUUGUAGAAGCUUAAAAAUCUGUUGAAGGUAAUGUUAAGUGUCUAACUUAAGUUCUGCUUGCAGGGGGGUUCCUUUGAUCCACAAUGUUCCCUCUGAUGUUAGACCAAAUAUAGUGAACCCAAGCCCAAGGAGUCAGUAUAUCUUUUAGUAAUUUUAGUGACUCAUCUAUAAUUGGUAGUUUGAUACUUUUGGCACAAUUAUUUUCUAGUUAAGAGAUUAUAUGAUAUAUCUAUCAAUACCUGGGAUUGAACAAUUGGCAUAUCAUAUACAAGCAUUGUACCCUAGGUCUGAAAUUAUAAUGUAGGAUAUAGACAUACUGCUUUUAACAGGUUGUGUGAACCUCUUUAAAAUCAAUGAAUUUCUGGCAGAGUCAUGGAGCUCAAAGGUAUAUUGUAGAAUUUGUAGGAGUCUGCUAAGAAUUAACACAUGGGAAUCAGGUUAGUUUGGAAUAAUGUAAGGUGGCCUGCCAUCUUCAUUGGUGUAUUUUCCUAUAACCCCUGAUUGAUGGGCAGCCUAAUGGCAAUUUGGUUGUUGCUGAUAAUAUAAGCUCUUUGCUGAUAACAUAUAAGGAUUUUUUUGUCAUUGUAGACCAAGGCUUUUUGUUCUUUUAGGAUGCUGUAAUUCUCUUAAAACUGCCUGACACUUAGUAAGUAUUCAUUAAAUGUGGAAUAAAUAUUGGUAUGGAUAUAAUACCAAUAUAUACACAGUACUAUAUGUGUCAUCCCCUCAGUGCAGUGUUUUACACAUUAUGUUUUUAUGUAUUUUGUAGUUAUUUUGGGGUACUUAUCCUAGUAAUUCUGUAUGAUAAUUUCCAUAGAGUAUGCACAUUUAACAAUUUGAUUCAUUAGGUUGCUAGAUUACUUUUUGAAAAUGUUCCAGGAGUCCCGACCAUUGUGGCUCAGUGGUUAAUGAACAGACUAGCAUCCAUGAGGACAAAGGUUCGAUCCCUGGCCUCCUCAGUGAGUUAAGGAUCUGGGGUUGCCGUGAGCUGUGGUGUAGGUCGCAGACGUGGCUUGGAUCUCGUAUUGCUGUGGCUCUGGCGUAGGCAGGCAGCUAUAGCUCCAAAUGGACCCCUAGCCUGGGAACCUCCAUAUGCUGCGGGUGUGGCCUUAAAAGACAAAAAG
rnacentral:lncRNA from 1 species